UACGAAGGGGGCUAGCGUUGUUCGGAAUCACUGGGCGUAAAGCGCACGUAGGCGGAUUUUUAAGUCAGAGGUGAAAGCCUGGAGCUCAACUCCAGAACUGCCUUUGAUACUGGGAGUCUAGAGUUCGGAAGAGGUUGGUGGAACUGCGAGUGUAGAGGUGAAAUUCGUAGAUAUUCGCAAGAACACCAGUGGCGAAGGCGGCCAACUGGUCCGAUACUGACGCUGAGGUGCGAAAGCGUGGGGAGCAAACAGG
rnacentral:rRNA from 1 species